CACUAAGGGGCAGCCGUGGUGCUAUUUGACCGAUCCGAACGCCGUUCCGGAAUGGGAGUUCUGCGGCAUUCCGGAUUGUUCCGUGAUGGAUGUUGGCCAGGGUACAUGUCCUAACAACUACUGUGGAGAUUUCUCCAGCAUGCUUGGCACGGACAACUUGUGCGCCCAGGUGAGUCCGCUCGAAAGCGGCUACUCGCGAU